AGCUCCAAUAGCGUAUAUUAAAACUGUUGCGGUUAAAACGCUCGUAGUUGGAUAUUUGUUGGAGAGCAUUGGUCUACCCCAGUGGUAAGUACUUGAUGUUCCUUCGACAUCUUACUGGAGAAAGGGUAUGCUCUUCACUGAGCGUGCCCAUGAACCAGAACUUUUACUUUGAGGAAAUGAGAGUGUUUCAAGCAGGCUAUUGCCGUGAAUACGUUAGCAUGGAAUAAUAACAUGGGACUUCGUGUCGUUGUUGUUGGUUAACGACAUGGAGUAACAAAAAUAGGGACAGUUGGGGGCAUUCGUAUUACAAUGUCAGAGGUGAAAUUCUUGGAUUAUUGUACGACGGACUACUGCG
rnacentral:rRNA from 1 species